GGCGCUAGUCAGUCACGGACAGGGAGAUAGCUUAUCUUGUCAAUGGACUCUUUCAUCUAGCCGAAGACAGAGAACCACAAGUCCAGAGGAGCACUUAGACAGAAAGACUGAGACUUGAGAGAGAAAGAGAGAUGCGAAGCUUUAGUCUCUCACAUACAGCUUUAAAGCUACAUUCACUGCCUCCAUGUCCUAAACCUCUUAGGGCCCACGCUUAGCUUACUUCCUUUUAGUUCUCUUUCUAAGAAUCGUAACUCCAAUCUUUCCUUUCGCAACCUAUGUCUUAUUUUCUCUAGGUAUCCAAGGCAGCAAUGGGGCAAGAACCCCACUGAAGAAGCAAUUAAACAUGUUCAGCCAACAGUUUCCAAUAAAGGGAUGCCCUCGUAUUAUUUCUUUACAUUCAAUUUUCCUCUUUGCUUAUUUUGCACUGUGCUUUUGGGACAAGAUUGAAUUUUAGUUUCUGAUGUUCUUCGGUACAAUAAAAAUUGCAGACAAGUACUUGUAGUGAAAAAAUUUCUACUUUUAUUGUUGUCAAGAGUGGCUAAUUGAUGCUUUCAGUUAAAGGUUUAAUUCUCGCUUGAACCACCAUGUGAAUUUGACCUAAUCACACUAAAAAUCCUAAUCUUUUUCGACAUUUUGCACUUAGUCCAGUGGUUUCAAUUUUGAAUAUCAAAAUUUAAACCAUUGGAUUAAAACGCAGCACGUGAAAAAAAUUUAAAUUUUUUAUCUGAUUAGGCAAGCAAAUUUCUUAUAAACCUAGGGGAAAAAAAAAACUAUAUGAUUAACUUUCAGAUCUUUUAUCAGUUAAAAUCAGGAUUUCUCAAUUUCAAAUGUUAAUAUUGGAGGUAGGCCAAGCAUAUCUAUCAAACAUUCCCAAACCCUGCCUUAUUUCUUGUCAUAAAUGUUUUACUGGAAUUUUUUGUUGUCAUGUACUAGGAUGUUACCUUUGACAUAGGAGGUCAAGGGCCUUGAUUGCUGGAACUUCCAAGCAACUACAGAAUCAAUGCUGAUUUUGGAAGAUAUUUGUCUCUUAGAUAAAUCACCUGCAAACAUAACUCAACGAGGGAAUGUCAAAUGGUGGCUUCCACUAAAUCAUAUGGUGGUUUGCUAAAGUUUCUACUUCUUUUAGUGUACCUGACACCUCAAGGAACUCAACAGGCCAUAGUAUCUUUUGGAAUCUUGAAUAUGAUGCUACAAAAAAUUAUACUAAUCCACAAAAGCAAGCAAGCGGGAAAGAUUUAAAAGCCCAAAAUGAAGCGCAGAGCACCUUUAAUGAAACAGUGCAUACCACAGGCCAACUAUAGAACUAAAAAAACAAAGUAAAAAUGCCCAGCAUCCUCUACAGCAAAGAUUAGAAAGAAGCUCAGUGUUGAACAGCAUGUAGUUGUAAUAAACUUGUAAGCUAGUUCUUUAAUUUUUUAGGUAGAUUUUUCUAUAACUUUCUAGAAUUUUGUAGAAGCAAGUUGAUACACAUAUUUUAUAUUGGCAUUUUAUGGAAAUUUUGUAUCCAUUUUGCCCUUUUAUUUUAUAGUUUUAUAGCAUUUUAAUCUUUAAUUUAUUUAAUUUAUUAAUUUUAGUAUUUUAUA